AAAAAUCUUGCUCUGGUGAAGGCUGGCAGCUGUCAAUCAUCCUGCACUGGUGACUACGAAAGAUUGUUCACCUCAAGGGGCUCAAGGAGACAUCACUGAAGUAAACAUUCACGGCUACUUUUUGACAGCAACAAUUGAAUAAAUUAUUAUACAUUUGAAAUAGGCUUAGACGUCUCAACUGUUUCUAAAUAUGGUAUGAUUAAUAAUAAACGCCUGUAGUUAUGUUGGGCAGAAGAUCAGUAGAAUUUGUGGUAGUUCAUCAAGUAGCAAGAAUAACAAGGAUUUAGAUCGCAUACCAAAAGAUCAACAAGCUUGUAUAUUUGGCAACAAUACUGGUAAAGCAACUACUAAUGGACAAUCCUACGAUGAUCAACAGCCUAAACACGACACAGGUGCAAGUUAUUUAUUUAGAUCUGAUGGCGGAGGAACGAAACAAUCAUAAAAAAAAAACUACCUCAUUAGAAAGAGUUUAAGUGACAACCUCUCAGAUAUUCUAACAUUAAUCAACAAAUACAAUUCUGUUUAUUUGAUUAGGCCAUGCAAAAAAAAAAUAUUCUAGUUCCCAGACAGUCCUUCCUAAAAAAUUUGAUGUGGAAUGGAAGUUUUUGUUCUUGCGUUUUUAUUUUGUCAAAGGAUCACUACCCGUACUGGGCUAAAUGACUCCUCAUAAAUAUCACAUUUCAAGGCACUACAUUUAUCUCAUCAUGUUGUUGAUACCCAGUAUCAUUUAUGAUUGUCAAUAACAUAUUUGAUAAUUGAGCCUAUGGUACAUUUCUGGAUUCUUUCCAAAAUAUUUAUAGAGUUACUUCCUGUGACCCAAGGAUUAUCUGGGAACCAGAAUAUUUUUUUAUAUAGCCUUAUAUGAUCAUUUAUAAACUGACAUCAUUUCAUUCAAGGUGUUUGUCCAGGUAAGAUGAACUGUAUACCUGGCUGUAUCAAAAUUUGUAUCUCUUCUCAAAACUGAAUUAUAGAUAUUCUGAAAUAUUGAAACUCUUUCAGGCCUCGUGACAGAUGUUGGCAAGUAUAGAGUCAGGCCCUUCAAUAACCAAACAGUUAAGGGAAAUCUUGCUCGGUGACAGUGCAAAAUUUUCCUCAAAUAAACAGGACUUAAAGAUCCUGAGGCCUGGGAGGUUCUGAUAUUUCGUAUUAAACUCAAAUAAACUUACAUCAAAAUUAUAAAACAUUCCAUUCUUUGAAAACAUGAAAUUUGUCCCAGGAACAUCUUUCAAGAAGCUGUCAUUUUAACCCCUGAUUUAUUAUUUUUCUUAUAUAUUUCUAAUAUUUUUAUAAUGUUUAUAACAAGUCUUUAUAUAAGCGUAUGAUUUAUCUAUUAUAAACAAGCUCCUUAAUAGAUAUUGAUGGUUUGUUAUGUAGAAGGCUUAUUAUGAAUUAAAUAAAAUAUCUGAGAAUA